rnacentral:tRNA from 1 species
CGCGCCGGUCGCGGGGCACGUCGCCGGCCUCAACCCGGCCGGCGGCAAGGCCUCCGCCGCACCGGUGCGGUUCGCCGCCGCGCCGCCCGC